GGGGAACAGCCGUGUGUCUUCUCCAUCCCGAUUCAACAGGAGAGCUCCCGAUUCCGCAGGGGAGCUGAUAAUCUGCAACAAAUCCAAUCCAAUCGUGGACCACGUCUCUUGCCCACAAUCUCGUUCGUGGAAGAUAACAGUCCUGCAAAGGCAGAAGUGGUCGGAGGCAAGCUGCUGCAUCUCUAUAAAAGGGGAAGAAAAACCCAGAACAAGAGACCGAGAAAUAAACCCAUAAACGAGAGCAAAUAGCAAAGAAAAGGCAGAGCAUAAAAAAAAAUUUACAGAGAGAAGGAGAGAACAAGAAGGCAGCACACACAGUGACGAGAAUUAUCCUUGAAAUUGUCUUUGUCCCUGCAAACAAAGGAAAGACCUGGAUUCAAUCAAAGAACACUCACAGCAAAUCGGCAUCAUCUUCGUAGUUUUAAAAGCUACUGAGAAAGCAAGAAGGAAAGCACAAAAAAAGUGAUCACAGAAGGAAGACAAGGGGAAGCAGUAGGUGAGAAUCAUCAUCAGCACUGCAAGCAUCUUCGGUCUCCAGAAGCAGGUACUACUUCAUCCCCUUUGUAUCUUCAUUUCAAAAUGUAAUUGUUAGUGUUACAAGAACACUAGUGUUCGUGCAUGCGUGAACAAUUCACAAGUGAUUUUAGUUUUUGCCCAGCCGGGUCACUGGCUUGAGCGAGUGACCAGGUUGGGCUGGCUGGGUCUAGCCCAACCCAUAUAAACUGAGCUAGGCCCAACCCAAAUAU
rnacentral:lncRNA from 1 species